rnacentral:rRNA from 1 species
UACGUAGGGUGCGAGCGUUAAUCGGAAUUACUGGGCGUAAAGCGCGUGUAGGCGGCUCUGCAAGUCAGGUGUGAAAUCCCACGGCUCAACCAUGGAAGUGCACUUGAAACUGCAGGGCUAGAGUCCUGGAGAGGAAGGUGGAAUGCUUGGUGUAGAGGUGAAAUUCGUAGAUAUCAAGCGGAACACCGGUGGCGAAGGCGGCCUUCUGGACAGUGACUGACGCUGAGACGCGAAAGCGUGGGGAGCAAACAGG